CCGUGAUAUUAGGGGCUGUGUCUGUGUGCCAUCAUUCUUUCACGCUGCUGUGCUGUGCUGAAUGCAGCUCCCGGUCCCUGUUGCUCUGAGGGUCCCGCUCUGAAUGGAAAUGAGGGGACUCUAUAAUGAGUUCCACUCAUCCCGGGUUCCUGACCCUGCUGGCAACUGCGCGUUAAGAAGGGAUAGAAAGGAAAAAGAAAAGGACAGGGGAAGGCAAGAGGCUACAAGGCCAGGGUAAAAAAAAAAUCGUGUUUUUCUUUCCUCCUCCCGCGUUUUACCUUCUAUCUCGGGAAGACGGAUUGCUGAGUAGCUUCCAUGUUCCAUGAUCGUUCUGUUGCUGUAGACCUUCGCUCGAUUCUCCGACAUUCAUUACAGCCACCACAUAUCAAAUCCAGUAGUAUGCCGGUUCAGCUUUGUCUUUCAAACUUGCUUUACUAUAUUGAGGUCAUAUUGGACGAAAAUUCCUUCAGGAACCUCCGAGGAACCCUCCUGAAGAAGAACUCCACAAUUGCCGGACGAGUGAGUUCCUGUUCCGCAUUUCCACCACGGAUCGUGACCAUCGUAUAUGCAAAAAUAGCAAGUGAUCCGAAAUAUGAGAUGGUUACAACAAAGUGAACAUGAAAGACUCGCUUGCUUUUGUCCAAUCAGCAACGUUCAGAGCAGAAAGCUCAACCCCUAUAGUUCCUGUUCUGUACAAAAGUACUGACUUGAAAGCAAGAAGUAAAAAUAUUCCAGGAACUACAACGGAAGAGGAAAAUUGCUGACCCAGGAGCAGGAAGUAAAACUGGUCUAGGAACUACAGUACAACCCAGGAAUACUGACCCAGGAGCAGGAAGUAAAACUGGUCUAGGAACUACAGUACAGCCCAGGAAGUACUGACCCAGGAGCAGGAAGUAAAACUCGUCUAGGAACUACAGUACCACCCAGGAUGGAAAGUCCAGACGUAGGAGCAGGAAGUAGAAAGGUUCCAGGAAAUACAACCCAAGACGAAAACGACGUCCUGUAUUGAAUAAACAUUCAUCAAAUUUUCCAUUUGACACAAUAGGAGGAGUUCUUUCUUAUGAGUUCUCAUUAGAACCAUUUUUUAAAUAAUUGUAUUUUCUCUCAGCGUACUGUCGGCAGCACCGAUAAAGCGCAACAUUUGUGUGAUCUGUUUGUUUUUUACAACAGAGGCGAGUCGAAAAAACGUGGGAGUGUUUGUGUAUACGUGCCAUUAAUAUCAAACGGCAAAACCUGGCUCGAAGAAGAAGAAAGCUCAAUGUUCCUCACAUACACCCCUGGACUUGAACCAGUUCCUGCCCCUUUUCCCUUUUCACCCCACAUUCCACCUUUCCAACAGAGGCGCCAGUUUGUGUGUGAGUGUGUGAGUAUGAGAGUGUGUGUGUCCAUAAAAUACCUCUCCGGGGCAUAAAGCCGAGGAAUGUGGCCAAUGGAGUGGAUAAUGGCUGACUCACCAUGACCUCUGACCCAUAACAGCCAAAGAAGUCCUCCUCUGUUUCUGCUCACACUGAUUACAUGGUCAGACCUUACUGUGGCAGCUGUAUAAAACACACACACACACACACACACACACACACACACACACAUACACUCUCCUGAAAGAUAACAUAGAUCGGGUAUAAGAGUACACAAUAAAAGUCAAGCUACAGAGGAAAGAUCUGGAAAAAAUACUGAACAGUUACUAAUCCAGAACUUUCCGUACCUCUGUGUGUUUGGCUCACGGUAACAGUGUAAAUGACUGUUCUAGUCAGUAUUUUCAGGUGCAAAUAGAAUGAAUAGAAGUUCUCUCGAUCCUAUUUGACACAAUAUAAGAAAAAUGAUACCGAUAGAGCUUAUUUGUACGUUAAAACGAUGUGAUGUGGGGAUGUCACUUGUCUACCUCACAGACUGGACCCCAGGAGUGCCAAUACUUUAACCUUAAUGUAAAUACAAUAAGAUGAACGAGACGAAUAAGGGACGAACAGAGGGAAAGCCGAUUCAUUUGCCAUUCCUUCUUUCCGUUCUCCUGUUCAUUCUUUAUUCAUGUUAUCUUUAAACGAGAUAAAGAGAAGGUUGAGGAGAUGGUGAUGACCGUAG
ensembl:lncRNA